rnacentral:rRNA from 1 species
GACGAACGCUGGCGGCGUGCUUAACACAUGCAAGUCGAACGGUGAAGCGCCUUCCUUUUUGGUGGGUGUGGAUGAGUGGCGAACGGGUGAGUAACACGUGAGUAACCUGCCCCCUUCUUCUGGAUAACCGCAUGAAAGUGUGGCUAAUACGGGAUAUUCUGGGUCUGUCGCAUGAUGGGUCUGGGAAAGAUAUUGUUUCGGUGGGGGAUGGGCUCGCGGCCUAUCAGCUUGUUGGUGGGGUGAUGGCCUACCAAGGCGGUGACGGGUAGCCGGCCUGAGAGGGUGGACGGUCACACUGGGACUGAGACAAGGCCAAGACUCCUACGGGAGGCAGCAGUGGGGAAUAUUGCACAAUGGGCGCAAGCCUGAUGCAGCGACGCCGCGUGAGGGAUGGAGGCCUUCGGGUUGUGAACCUCUUUCGCCAGUGAAGCAGGCCUGCCUCGUUUGUGGGUGGGUUGACGGUAGCUGGAGAAGAAGCGCCGGCUAACUACGUG